rnacentral:lncRNA from 1 species
UUUUUUUUUGUUUUUGCCGUGCUACAGUAAUUUAUGACGCUACAAUAACAUCGGUGCUAUAGAGUAAUCCGCUACAAGAUUUUUUUUAAAAAAAAUGUUCAACCCGAUAAUAUUUUGCCAAAUGAAAGGUCGCAACAAAUACGGUACAAAAUCAACCUUGUCAUUACAAACUAGUUCCAAGCAAGAGAGUGCGGUGGCUAGCUCAUCACGAAAGACAUCCAUGGUUGGUACGUUGAGUGCGGAAGUUGACCCAUCCAACGCCGCUUGUGAAACUACAUAUUUGCUAUAUAUUUCCGGUAUUAUAGGAACAAAAUUAGGAUCAUGAUCAAACCGAGUAAAGUCUUCAUCUUCACCUUCAUGUUCACGAAUGAAAUUGUGAAGGAUCAUGGUAGUCACAACAAUCAUCUUUUGCUUGUACAUGGGAUAUGGUGGCAUAUUCCAAAUAAUUUGUCACUUCAUUUUUAAUAAUCCAAAAGAUCGCUCAAUCACAUUGCGGAUAGAUGAGCGAACCCGAUUGAACCUUUCCAUAGGAGUCUUAGGUUCGGUACCUCUAUGCCAUUCCGGUAAAUAAUUCCUUUCACCCUUGUAAGGAGCGAGGUAGCCAGGACGGUUAGGAUAUCCCGCAUCCACAACAUACUAUUUGCCUAUAUUCAGUUAAAAAUAAUAUGAGUUAUGGAUUAAUGCUACACGUUAAUCACAUUCGUAUAUUCAAAUUGAACACAUGUUACCUUGUGGAGGAUGUGGAAAAAAUUCUUCAUCCACUCUGAGUGCAUUGUACAACACACUUGUAUCAUGCAUAGCUCUAGGUUGUCCCAUGAAAACAUAAGUGAAACGCAUGUCAAAGUCACAUACUGCUAGUACAUUUUGAGUGGCUAACCUAGUUUUUCCAAUAUAUCUCACUUGCUCUUCAGGUGAAAGAGCGAUACGGAUAUGAGUGCCAUCAAGUGCACCAAUGCAAUCUUUGAAAUGUGGAUAUGCACGUUUGUCAUCUCUUAUCCUUUUAUGGACUAUGGGGAAGUUGGGAUUUUUGUCUAAUGUAAUCUUUUGCCAUAGCCAUCAAAGCAUUUAGAACCUCAUCAAAUUUCCUACUAAUAGUUUCGUCUGAAUACUUAAAUCUAUUUUAAGCUCUCCUAUUAGACUCGUUUCCAGCACAUGUGUAUAGGAACAUAGCAAGCAUCUCAUAUGUGCUCAUGUGCAUAGAAGAUUGCAGCCCAUACCUUUCCACCAACACACCAUGAAGAUCCAAAAAGAUUUCGUUGUUCAUACGAAGUUGUCUGUGGCAUUCCCCAGCAGUUUUCAUUGUCUCUAGCAGCCAUCUCGUACCACUAACACCGGAUGUCCUUGGUGGGUUUUUAGCAAGGUAGAGGUCAGCAUAUAUUUGUACAAUUUCUGCAGCACCCAAAAUAAGAUUCCAAAAGACCUCGCUUUCAUUAUUAGAGUCAUCACUAUCGCUUUCACUUUCCUACGGAUAAGAGACCACAUGACAAAUAAAAAAAAUAAGUACCACACUUAAAUUUCGAUGACAAUACUUCAUUCGAACAAGUAAGGAAAUAUUAAAAUAACACUUAAGUUUCAAUGACAAUAGUUCAUACGAAAAAAAGUAACAUUAAAAGAACACAAUUCCUCAAUUGCCAUACUUGGCAUUAUACUUCCUGCGAAACUAAUUAAAUCUAAUCUCGUUUGUAGGAAGGGUCACGAACAUUUCCCUUUGGUCCUUCUUCACAAAUAACUCAGUAGCAAUAUAAUGCUUAUCUGUAUCAUACCCUGUCCCACAUUCCAAAACAAGGUUCAUGACUUGUUGGACAGUAACUUCACCCAAUUUUAUAGAUGUAAAAGAGGAGGCGGACUCAGCAAUCUUGGUUACUUGCUCUUGAAUAACUUGUGUUGUUCCAAUUCUUUGUUUCUUUGCUGGUGGGAUUCUUUUAUUUGCCAACAAAUAGUAGGAGAAGGAGAAAUCUCUUGUGGCUCAUCUGUUUCAUCCCAAUCAGCAGCAUCAUUGUCACAAUCAUUAAGGACAUCAUGAACCUCAUUCACAGGUCCGUUGUCAACAUCCUCUUAAGAUGGUGGUUUGACGGGGUUAGAGCUCAUAGGAUUCCAAUGAUCUGAUUGAUCAUUAGUGAUGUCAGCAAACAUCACUGUCAUGUCCUCCUCAUUUUGCAAUGGUUUUUUCUUAACCUUGCCGCAACCUGGAGGAGGCAAUCAUUGUUAGUAAAAUAAAUGAUAUAAACCUAUUGAAGAAUAGAAAUAAAAUAGUUUCGGAACUCACCGCCUUUGCCUUCUUCCACCACUCAUCAUCCAUAUCAAUCACACCUCUUGCUCUGUCCCACCCCGCUCCUGUUUGCUUCCUCAUUAAUUGCUUCCAAGCCAUUAAAUCGAUCUUCAACUUAUCCCACUUGUUCUUUAUUUGCGGCUUGGUCAAACGAAUUGCUGUGAGGUUGAAAAAUUCAUCUCUGACCUCAUCAUAGCCUACUGAGUUCAAAUGGGUGUUCGGCCUAUUCCCUUUCUUAACUUAUUUGGCAAACAAUGAUCAUAUGAGCGUUGUGUUUGCAUCAGUCUAUUCAAUCGAAUCACCCUUACCAAGAUAUAACAGUAACUAAUAUCAAGUAUGUGCACUAAAGUUGUAUAUAUAAGCCUACUCUUUUACUGUAAUUGACUCCCGUAUUUCCAUCACCUUUGUACAUAUCCAGGUUACCUCCAAGUUUAAAUUGAGGUACAAACUAUUACUUACCUAUUCAUAUCAGUUUAGUGAAUGGUAUGACAAAUGAGUGUGCACAGCAUGGCAUGCUGGUUUUAACAUGCCUGCAGUUUUGUACUGAAACUUAACCAACGACUCAAGACUCAGGAUAGGCGUCAGGACUAUUUGUUAAUCUAUCACCAUCACCACACACCAUUCCAUCAUUUAGUACAGUUGUUUAGCUUAUGCAUGACAUGUACACUCAUUAACCAAAAAUAUACAACCUAAUCCCUUGUCACACCCUCCUACUUUACAGACACCUAAAAGAUGCCCAGUAGUUUGUGAGAUGCUCUAUUAAAAAAAUGAAGUAUUUUGUAUGAUUCAACAUUCUACUAUUAACCAUGAGAUGAAAGCAGCCAGUUACAUUAAUUUGCUACUUUCUUGAAUGAUCACAAUUCACCAUACAUAGUUUGCCAUCCUUCAGCAAGUUCACCGUACAAAGAUUCUAUCUAGCUGGUGGUGCCAAUCUCUUAAUGCUAACAAGCAACCAACCAGCACAAGCAACGCAAAAAAGUUUAACUGGCUGCUACCAAUUUCCAUUCACAUUCUGAAUUUGAAUAGGAUGCUCAGUUUGCAUUACCAUAUUAGGAGCAUUUCUUUUUGCUGCCUUCUUCACGCCUGUGUGUUGUGCAGCAGAGGCGGCAACAUCCUAGCCGGUGGGCUCGCUGCCAAGCCCGGCCACAUCAUGGCUACCAAGCCUAGCGCCACGGCCAUGGCCACGGCCGCCACCCUGGCCAACACAGCCACGGCCUUGGCCGCUGCCCCUGGACCUGCCCAACGCAUGGGCUGCCCAUGCCACCUGCACCUCGUUCGCCACCACCCAGGCCACCUCUUCCGCCGCCGCCCAGGUCACCUCAUCUGCCGCCGCCUAGACCACCAUCGAUGUCUUCCUGGCCCCCGAACCCACCCCUGGCCGCACCUUCUUCCUGGCUCGUGACCACGCCUAAGGGCCCACGACCGCCGGCGCCCAGGCCAGCUGUGCCUUCUUCUUGCGCGGCGAUGCCGCCCCUAGCCGCGCCGCCCAAGUUCCCCUGGCCAGCGACGCCAGCGCGCAUCCUUUGGGUGGCAUGGGCCCCCGCCAAAAUGGAGCCGUGAGGAUGAGUUGAGGAUGCAAUCGGAGAAAUCGACGGAGGAGGGUCGUCGUCGCCGUCCAUCUCGCCGGGAAAAACCGCUAGCGGCAGCCCAGGAAGGAAGAGGCGGCGCUAGGUUUUCGGCGGCGGAGGAAGAGAACCAUCGGGCAGAAAGGGGGGCAAUGGGGAGAAAAGAAGUGACGGUCUGUUCUUUUGUUUUAAUCGAAGCGAUAUGUGUAACCGAUGGCAAUGGUGGGUAAAUACUCACCAACUCCACGAGGAGGUCUGAAAAGGGGUUUUUUUUUAGCACCUCUUAAGGUACUCCACCAAAAACGUGGAUCUACCCCCUUGCUCCACCUUUUUCCUGGAGCCGAAGUUGCUGGAGCUAAACGCGUUUGGCUGCGAAAUUUUUAGAGUUGGUGGAGUGGAGCAAUUUUUCCUGGAGUGGAGUGCUCCUAAACACCCCCUUAGAGUCUGUUUAUUUGAGCUGCAGUUUUUGAGCUUUUCUGAAAAGAUGAUGUUGGCUUUUUAUUCUGAAAAGCUAAUUCUAACUUUUAGAAGAUGUGUUUAGCUUUCUAAGCUCAAAAAGCAACGAAAAGCUUGUAAAACUGAGCUUUCCAUAUAAACUCAUAUUUCCUGAGCUUCUAUUUUUUCCGGAUGCUGCACAAGAUGUUCACUUUUUUAUUUGAGCUUAAAAACUGCCAGGAAGCAGCUCAAACAAACAUGUUCCUUAUAUUCUUUUGUUGUAUCAACCGUGCAAUAUAGAUUCACAAUGUGGUAUGCGUGUUGGCACGUGCAAUUCGUUGCAGCACGUUGACGUCAUCAAACCGUUUCUUCUUCUUAAUCCAAAAACAAUUUCAUUUUCCAACGUCACUUGGAUAUACGUUUCAAUUGGACAUCUCACCUUUUCCUUUUCCGUAUCCAUAGUUUCAUUUUGCUAUUGAGUGCACGAAUCAAGAAUUACUGAUUGUUCUCUAGUGCUUACAAGACUAUCUGCUUCGAAACCAACGGGGACAGGCAGACACGGUUUUCAGCAAACCAAGGCCCCCGCCGAAAAGGACACCGGCCGGAAACGAAACCCACGACCCGCCGUCGCAAUCCCAGGCCAUUCCCGUGGACGACCGCCGCCGUCGACGCCUCAGUCUCCGAUCCGAUCCAACUGCGAUCAGCCCGAUCCCCUCCACUACCAUCCUAAAACCUCCCCGCCUAUAUAAACCCUCCGGCACGCUCUCCCACACACCACCGCAGCUCACGACAUGAUUUCCACUCCGGACACCGGCGAUCACACGCUCACGCUCACUCUUCGAAAGCAAGAACCGGCGGCGAGGCCAGAGCCACCGUCGCCGGCCAUGGGCGACUUCAUCCCGGGGCUCCCGGAGGACCUGGCCCGGGAGUGCCUGGUGCGGCUGGGGUUCGACCAGCUCCCCGCGGCUCGCCGCGUCUCGCGCGGCUGGAAGGCCGAGGUCGAGUCUCCCUUCCACCACCGCCUCCGCCGGCCCCGCCCGCUCCUCGCACUCGCGCAGGCCCGGCCACCGCUCGCGGACUCCGGCCCGGCACGCAAGUACGCCGCCGCGGCGGGCUACUCCUACCGCCUCGUGCUCCACGACCCGGGCGCCGGCACGUGGACGCCGCUCCCUCCUCUCCCCGGCGGCGGCGGAGGCCUCCCGCUGUUCUGCCAGCUCGCCGCGGUCGGCGAGGGUCCGUCGACGAAGCUGGUGGUGCUGGGCGGGUGGGAUCCCGAGACGUGGGCGCCGACGGCCGCGGUGCACGUGUACGACUUCCUGGCCGGCGUCUGGCGGCGCGGCGCGGACAUGCCGCCGCCGCGGCGGUCGUUCUUCGCGUGCGCGGCGGUCGGCAGCAGGGUGUUCGUGGCCGGGGGCCACGACGUGGAGAAGAACGCGCUGCGGUCGGCGGCCGCGUACGACGCCGAGGCCGAUGCGUGGGCGGCGCUCCCGGACAUGGCGCGGGAGCGGGACGAGGCCAGGGGCGUCCGCGCCGCCGGCGGCAGGUUUGUCGCCCUCGGCGGGUACUCGACGGAAGGGCAGGGCCGGUUCGCCGGCUCCGCCGAGGCGUUCGACCCGUCCACCUGGUCGUGGGGCCCCGUGAGGGAGCGGGUGAUCGAGGACGGCGCGUGCCCGAGGACCUGCUGCGCCGCCGCCGCGGGGAACGGGAUGAUGUACAUGCUCGACGCCGGGCGCGUCAUGGCGCGGGACGCCGAAGAUGGCGGCGCGUGGCGGACCGUGGCGCGCGUGCCGGAGGACGGGCGCGCGGCGGCCACGGAGGUCGCAGCCAUCGGGGAAGGCCGCGUGGCCGUCGUCGGCUCCGCGUGCCACGGCGCCGAGCAGGCCGUGUACGUGCUGAGCCACGGCGAUGCGACGGCGCCGUCGUGGACGCGCGCCGCGGCGCCGCCGGAGUUCACCGGGCACGUGCAGGCCGCAUGCUGUGUACAGAUAUAGAUCAGUGCAGACCUUGUAUGUAUUUAGAAGCUUGGAUUUGCUCCGUUCGGCUGCAAUCCCGUCAAUGUGCGGUUAAUCUAAUCUCGACACUGCUUCCUAGUACAUCUCAUCUCAACAUGUCUUCCUGCGAGCAGAGCGUCAAGUUGACAAGCUAUAAUUUCACUGCAACAUGUCUUCCAGUGAACCAUCGGAAGCCGCCGCCGCCGCCACCAUCUUCUCGAUCUCUUCUUGAGCAAAAGGAGAGGAGAUGGACAUGGACAUGGACAUAGACUUGGCGCCGGCCGUCGCUGGGAGGAAGAGGUCCGCCGCCUCGGAGGACGCGGCGGGGCUGGAGAAAGACUGGCGCCGGGAGGAGGAGGUGCGCGGGAAGGUCCCCAAGUGGAACUCGCGGGAGGACGAGUCGCGUGAGGACAUCUCUCCCGAGAUCAGGGAGCUCCUGCAUAAGGGCUACAUCCUCAUCCUCCAGUCGGCAGCCAGCCGCGCAGCCAGCACCAGAAGGAUGGAGGAGUUCGCCCGCCUGGCCCCCAAAGCCUUCGCCCUCAAAACCUUCGGCCGCAAGUGAUUCGAGCAAAACCAAGAGGAUCUACUGCUGCGUCCUGCAUGCCUGUCAUAGUCAAUAUGUGCGUAUACUGCUAACGACGGUCGAUGGUGCUGCUUGUCUCAAGACUGAACUAGAUAGGUCUUUUUGCUGUGCAGCAGCCAGCAGGAAUGCCACUGUGCCCGGAGAUGCAAACGACCAUCUUCUGAAUCCAAACUAAUUCAGUAGUUUAAUUUGCGUUUCUUUUUAGUUUUCAGUACAUAUAUACGAACUGCUUGCUGCGAGAGCCAGACCCUAUGUCACAUGCUUUAUUUCAACGAAGAAUGUUUCCUUGUAAAGGAAGGUUACCGGUACACACAAAAUUGCUCCAGACUACGUCACCUGGCAUGUGGCAACUAGUGGGAACUGUACCAGGCACCUGCUGGCACAACUGCACAAGCAAAGUCUUUUGUGCAUUUCAUAUUACACAUGAUGCAUUUGAACUGACGAAUGCUAACAAAAUCAACAGCACACCACUUUCCUGAAUUCACACUUCUCUUAUCGUAGGAAGACUGAAACUAGACACGUACCCGAGAUUGCGAGAAGUGUCAACAGUCCUAUGAUGCAUCAUUGUCAACAGUCAUCGAUCCCGGUGGGUGAUAUCGAGAGCCUUUUCUGCAGGACGUGUCCAGCGUGAAUCCAAGCAGCAGAGCAGAGUAGCGCGUGAAUUCAAGCAGCAGAGCAGAGUAGAGCGUGAAUUGAGCAUGGCGUGUCCGACUGGAAUCUGUUCCGACUUCGACAUCAGAGACUCGGAGAUCGGCGUCGGACUCGAAUUCGACGGAGGAUAUAAAAAGCUCUGGAGGAACCGCAAAGCCAGCCUCAGUCACAUCUAGUCGAAGAAAGAGAGGAGAGGCCGAUGGCGAUGAUGGUCGUGGACGUUGCACCGACGACGGGGAGGAAGAGGCCCGCCGCCUCGGAGGAAAAGGAACUUCGAGUUUUCGACAAAGAAAGAAUGGUCAAAAUAAAAAGGAGUAAGAGACAAGCAACCAAGGAACAACUUGGGUCAUUAGUGGACCCAUAGGCUUCCACGACCCAGCUAAGCCCAUUUAUUUCCCCACCUCCCAUCCAUCCGCUUCCGCCGCACCAAAGAACGCAACGCAGCGAGCUGCUCGGCGGUCAAAUUAUCGGGCUCAACCGCAAGUCCGCAAUAGCACCUUGCCGUCACCGAUACCAUACACGGUAUGCGAGAUCGCUUUGCUUCCACACGUUUUUAUGCAUUUCCUGCACAAGAUCAACCAGGCCACUAGCAAUUUACAACUGCCAACAAGCACACCACAACGAGAGCACCAGAAGCAACCAUACUACCACGGAUGAAGCAGAGUUAUAUGUUCAGAGUUGACGGGGUGAUUCCUGUCCUAGGAGAUAAACUAAUCCAUACAUUCCCACCGGUCUGAACCAGAGCUACAACCACGUGCAUGGAAACAGGGAACAUCACAUGUGCAUAACAAGGAUCUGAUCCGGAGGGACAACGCGAUUUUUAAUCGCUGCUGUUGCUGCGUGCUGCUCUUAGAGCCCACCCUUCUCUCGCAGAGUUGAUAGGGCGACAAGGGCACUGGCUGCCCCAGUAACAUGGCUGCUAGCAUCAAGGCUCGGCCCAGAUGGAUAAUCCUGGGCGGCGGGUACUGCAGCCUGCUCUUUUUUCAGCUCCCCUGUUACUGCAGUCGCCACCCAAACAUUAGCUUUCGUGAAUGCACAAAAUGAAAUACUAAAUGCUAAUAGUUUAUUCCAGAGUGAGUUUUCAGGUACCGUACUUGGUUUGGGGGCUUUAUGGACCUUACUGGCCACAUCCUGGCCUUGAGAGUGACCGCUUUCUGGCAGCGUAUCAGCUGGCUGCUUUGGCGUUUUACUUGAUCCUGCACCGUCAUGGCCUUUUGACGUGAUACUCAGUGCUAUAGAAUCAUGGCCCUUGGUGCUUGUAUCAGCUAUAGCAGAUUCAUGGCGCUUUGGCACUUUACUUGAUGCUGGAACACCAUUGCCUUUUGGCAAGAUACCCAGUGCUAGAGAAUCAUGGCCCUUUGUGAUCGUAUCAGCUAUCGGAGAUUCAUGGCGCUUUGGCGCUUUACUAAAUGCUGAGCCACCAUUGCCAUUUGGCGUGAUAGGCAGCCCCCGAGAAUCACGGCCCUCGGUGCUCAUUGGUAGUGAUUUCCUGAGGCCUGCACAAAAAUAGCAACCUUAAUAUCUAUAUUAGGUAGGCUAUAAUCUAUCUUGCAGAGAGGCUUACUUGGAACAUGAACUGGAGGUAUGGCAACCGAUGCUGAAAUGGCCUGGAGUUUUACUAAAUGAGGUGCUGGGCUUGGUGAUCGAAUACCCAGUGAAAGGAAUUCCUGGCCUUCAGGUGUCAUUUUUGGUGCCGAAUUCAGACGUUUCACGCCUGCGCUUUUAGAAUUUCCAAGUGCCAAGCUUGGUACAACAGAUUCAUAGCCCUUAGGAGUGAGACCUGGAGCAGAAACUCCAUGGGGUUUCGAAGCAUUAGUUUGUGCUAGAGAAGCAUAACCAGAACACCCUGCGUUUGGUGUCGCAGAUUUGCAAACUUCCCGACCAGGAGAUGCAGAGUUUCCGGAAAUCGUCCUCAAAAGGCCAUCAUGAACUAUAGGUGCCACUCUUCCCACAAAAGAAUCUUGGCUUUUGGCACACGGGGUUGCCGGGUUUCCAGGUGGCAUGAUUUGCAUAGGAGAAUCUCUGCCUUUGGCCUCCACACUUGCAGAACCCCCACUUAUGGCACUGGUAGAACUAGAUUUUUCUGGCACACCACUUGCUGCCAGACAAUCAUGGCCUUUGGACACCAUAUCUGUUGCAAGGGCAUCAAAUCCUUUAUUGCUAAGAACUGUAGCAUGUUCAACCACAGCAUUUGGUGCAUGUGAAUCACCAUGAUUAACAUUAAGAGUUAAUGAACAAUUCCCACCUGACUUGUCCAAGGAUUGUUCUGGUGCUGCCAUUACAGGAUCACUAGAGACAGUUUCAACAGAAGGCUUGUACCAUAAUGAUGGCUGCAAUAAAAGCCAAUAAAAAAGUGAUGCUAAAACAUACAGCAAGAAAUAAGAUGUUGCGCAUUACUUAUUUAGAAACCUUAGUCACAUGGUUUGAGGAGCAAAGAAAAUAUUACAAUGAUUUCCAUGCGCACAUCACUACUAGUGCUCAAGAGGCAUGAAGCUGCAUAAAUAUUUAAUAUCAAUUUCCUUACCAUGCACCAUCAGAUAAUACAACUAUCAGAAAUGUUUAAAGUAGAUACAAGCACAGAAAUGCCUUCUCAUGCCUAAUUUCAAGUAACAGUUGCAUAUCCAUACUAUUCAUGAAGCACAAAUAAAAUAAUUUUGCAUCUAGAAAAGAUCAAAAGAUAGCGGGUAUUUGUGUUCAAAAACUGAAGAGAAACCUUCACUUAUGCUGCCAAAUUCAUGCCCUUGAAUGCCAUAUCAUCACAGAGUUGGUUUUAUGUUAUAUGCAAUGCACAUUAAGCAACCUCCAAAAGGUUACUUGAGGUGAAUUUGCAAGCAUAACAUGUCACUAAAUCCUUCCUAUACAAGCUUGAAAUUACAAGGGGGAGAACCAGCACAAGUCUUGAAAGAUUCCUCAGUUUUGGCAUGAAACAAGAAAAUGCAUACUAGGAACUUACACAGUAAUGAAGUUUCUUCAAGGCCUCCAAAAGUAUUUUUUCUCCAACUAUUAUUAUCAUUUUCUUCACCAUUUCUUCACGAGAAAUUAUGCCUUCCUGUAAAGUAGAAAAGUUGAAAUGGUUCAGCACACAACAUAGAAACCACAAUCAAUACCAACAGGUAAAACAUAACUAUUCAAGCAGAUAGUACCUUCAGCUCUUCAUAGUGAUGGAAGAGAAGCUCCUUUGCUACAGAUGAUAUAUUGCCCUGAAUCACUCCAAACAAAACACUGAAUGAUAUCCAUGGAGAAUUUGGUCCUUCACCUGUUUCAGACAUUACCUGCGGACAGAUUGUUUGGUUGGAUAAGUGGAAUACUACUGUAUACCAAAGCUAAAAUUAUUCGCCAUUGCAAGAUGCAGAGAGAGGAACCAAUGGACAGCAGAGCUGGACAUCUACAAAAAAGCUUCUGUCGUCCCACUGUGAGCAGCAGAUAUGCAUUUAAAAGGAAAACUAGUGCGCCGAUGGUGAACAAGAUUCAGGUUGCCUCACAGGUUGAAGGGUAGAAAUAUCCAUUGCAACUUCCUUCGGUGAUGGGUUAAACCAUAAACCCUUCAAGUCAAGCAAAUAAUCUGAAAAAUAAAGGCAUCAAAACUAAUAUUCACUCCACUUAGUAAUAUCACGUGAUAAAGGUGUUAACUCUUAGCGAUCAUCUUACGUCGAACUUUUGGGACAAGCUUGAAACUAACAAGAUAUUCUAAACGGAUGUGAGUGCUUAGAUGUGAUGGCCACAUCACAUAACACUUUGGGUUUGAACAAUCAUCAACACCAGAAUCAUAUAUCUCACUGCUUGGAAAAGACUCUUGUGAUCCAGGUUCAACAGCUUCCAUGUUUCCCAAUAUCAUACGGCACAGCAACAUAUACUGCACUCCUUUUUCAUCAACAUCACAAAGACCAACACUGAAACACAUUAAAAACGUGAUGUUAAUAUAACAAUAUAUAAACAUUACAGAAUGGUAACCACAAAAACAGAGUUAAGAAAGCACACCUGGUAAAGGCUCGGUUUUCUGGUGAAAGAUAUACACCAGCACUCAAACCUGCUUUCUCAACAGGAUUUGCAGUGGUACCCAAACCAUUAAUAAGAAUCCUAACUAUGUCAUUCUUCCUAGAUCCUAGCCAUCCAUACCUUACAUUUGCAUCACCACGUGCUUCUUUAGUUGACUUCAUCUGUCUUUCAAAAGCUUCAAAUCUACACUGUGCAGUGAUAUCAUUCGGAGAGUAGCGGUGGAUAUGAAGAAUGUUACUUGGUGUUGCAAAUGGAUCCAUGCCUGAGAGGAAAAGGUCCUGGACAAAUAGAAAGCUUUCACUGCCUCUUUCCACAGAUGUGAUCUUCUUCCGCAAUACGUCAACAGUCGAAGGUUUAUCAGGAACUGGAGGGUUAGAUUCAAGAACAACUUGCUUGACCACUUCCGGUGGAGAAGUUGCAGCCUUGUCUACCAUUAUUCCCUGUGCAGUGCUGUCAACGUUACCAGAAUCACCUUUGGUCAUUUCAUCACUUUCCUCAUCAAAGAACAGAGAAGGAAAGAAACGCUUGCCAGUGUCAUCAAACCAAGCAACAGACCGCUGCUUUCUGGUUUUUAGGUUCACCAGGGUCAUCGACAGGAAAUCAACAAGAAUGGGCUCAUCGUCCAUCACAGAUACAACACUCGAUUUAUUGCCUCUGAAUUCUUCAAUGAGGGACUUCAUUAUUUGCUCAGGAAAAUUGUGCCAAGAACCUUGUUUGUAAUACAUGAUACGGCUAGGCGCUCCACUCUUCAGGAAAUUGACACAAUCAUUGGCAAGGUUAGGUCGCGUGCAACAACAGUUGCAGCGUUUAGCAGAUGGAUCAAACGAGGGCCCAUUUUCAGAUUUCACACGGCGAGAUUUGCAGUCUUUUGACAGGCAGUCAUCAACAAGUUUCCGCUUCAAGCACACAGAAUUGGAUUCUUGUGGUGAUGCCAUGAGAAGCCUUGCUUCUAACUCCUAACAAAUAUAGAAAAAGAAAACUAACUCUAAUAUGUAUACAAUUGCAGCCGUCCCUUCAUAUUGAUAUCUCAGUCGUAGAAGAUGGCCCUGUAUAAGAUAAUAAAUAAAUGUCUCUCAAAUAGAAAACACAGUUCAAGAAUUUGUGACAGAAAAUUAGUGACAGAGUAAGGAUUCUAGAACAAGUUGGUGAAAUAAUAAUGGAAUAUUAGUAGAACAGCAUCACCAGCACUCACAACACAGAUGUACUAAAUGCACAACGAACAUCAACUGAAUAAAGCAUACAACAGUAUAAAAUAAAAAGUCUAGUUAAGUUGGUUCCUUAAAAAAUGAAGAUCUGUAGUGUCCCUAUGAUUCUGUUCUCCUAAGAAAAGAUCUGUAGCAGACAUAUCAGCUCCACAGUUAGCUGUUGAAGCCUGUCCCGAAAACAAGUUGAUGGGGAUCAAACAGGAAUAUGACAGUGUUCGGGUGAAAGUGGUUUGGGUUAUCACUCUCUGAUAGUGCUGUAAAGUAUGUAAGCAUUACCAUUUGCCAACCUCUAGAAUUUAAAAAUCAACAGAAAAACCAAUUGAAGUAUUAAAGUGUUAUCUGUAUUCUUUAGUUAAAUUGAAGAUGUAUUUAAACUUCUCACUCGCUAGAAACAUGAAAAUUUGGUGCUGUUUAUUUACACUGCUAUCCACACAGCAUACCAGUCCAACCUGCCUCUCCAUUGAUGCUUGCGAGGUUGCAUCCUGUAACCACAAGAUAAAAAAACUGCAAGGCUGCCUUUGGUGUCUAGGCACUGCUUGCAGUCUGCAAAUCAACAAGGCUUGGAAAAAAAACUCAUAGUAUCCCAAUUUUCAAUAAAGCCAGCAUGGUUAUAGUGACGUGAGGCACCCCAGAGGCCCCAACACUGCUCAGCCCCUGAGAAAAUGGAUAUCAAAUUUAUUUUAUAGGAUAGACCUGAAAUUGCAGGAGUAACGGCUCAAAAAUGGACGUACCAAGGACUGAAACCAAGGGAAGAAGAAUCCUAUGGGACAAACUCAGAUUUAGUUUCGGCCCUUUCAAUCUAACGACACGUGGUAGAAUAAAUCAAUCAUUUCACCUAUUUGCCAUGUCUCAUGAUUUAUAGGAGGUCUAAUCAAGGGUCCAAAAGGUUAGGAGGUCUUAUUAGUCUUGUAGAAUUUAUUUCUCAAUACCAAGACCCUUUUUUACUGGUAACGUAAAUAGCUUUUGCCAUAUAUAGAAAAAAAUGAUGAUUCAAUCUUUGUGUGCCAUAUCAAGCCAUGGCAAUUAAAAGCUCAAAUGAGAGAUGACAUUUAGAUUUGAGUAAUUUCUUGCAUAAAAAUCACAUUAAAAUUACUUGCAAACGAAGAAAUAUUUUCUACAAUUACAAGUACCAAUACCAGAUAUUCUUGACUCAUACUUCCUUCUGUAAUAUUUAAGCAACAAUAAUUAAAGUUUUAAAUUAUAUGCUGUGCAGCCUAAUAGCUGUUCCUGCAGCAAAUAUUCUCCAGGCGUUCAACAUAAGAUGACGAGCAGUUUAACACCAGACAUCUAAGGAAUCAAAUCCGCACUAAUGAUAGUACAGCAACGGUUGUCGACUCACUAAGCGGAACACGUGAACGAAAUUGGAAUGGAUAGAAGUAACAUGCAGAAACGACACAGUACAAGACGCUCAGCAGUAGAAAGAAACAAAUAUGGCAGUUUUCUGGCGCAAUCAUUGCUCGAUAUGAUGAAUACCCUAGAAUACUCAUCUCUGCAUGAAAAAAUCACACAAAAUUCUGAAGGAAACACCACCUCUACAAGAUAGGAAAAUAUCAAUGCAUUUUAAUACUAUUGAUAACUGAUGUUGUUGCUUGCGACAAGGGGGCAAACCUUCCUGAGGUAUGCCAUCUAUAGCAAAUAAAGUUUUGAACAAACUACAUACCAUUUUCAGUUUGAAUAAAGCAAUGUGAAAUACCUAAUGUGACUACUUGCGACCCAAGAAAUCCUUUACCAUAGAUUCACAGCAACAAUCAUCCAGGUAACCAAAUUUGGACGGCACUGAUGAUACUAGAACGUGUGCCAGCCACUAUGUGAGCGGGACGCUCGACACAAUGUGCACUGGACAGAAAUAACACAGUACAAGAAAUUAAACAUUACCAGAUUGGUGAAUUGGAGAAUGAAGCGAUGGCAUUCCAGCCUUUCUUCUCUUCUCAAAGCCUAAAAAAAUAUAGGGAGGGGUUUCUAUUUUGUAUUGUUAGCAUGUCUAAGCAAAUAUAUACACACCCAUGAGCAAAAGUUUAUUCUGAAAGCAAAGCUUCAGUACUGCAAGCAUCCAAGCCCAAAAGACUCAUCACCGCACAAAUAACUCUCAAUACAGGAAACUCUAAACAAAUGCCAUCUUCGACAACCCAACCUAUUGAGCCCGAUAGACAAACCCACCAAUCAUCAACCUAUGCCCAUAAGCGGGAGUGCUAAGCUUGCAAGUUGCAAUUGAGCAAUCUCAAGUAGAAACCGAACUACGAUAGCCAAGACCAGCAACACAAUCCACAUGCACAAGCAAGCAUACUUUCCUCCAACUAAAUAUUUGCACGAGAGAAGGAAGACUAUAUUAACUUGGAAUAGAGCUCUACCACAAAAACAAGUGCAAAGAGAACUUGGCUGAGGAGCCUAUCCUUUAUAUAAGAAACUUGUACAGCAAUUCACGAUACUCUGCCACUCUACAAAAGAAUUUAUAGCCGGAUUGGAUUCCGGGAAUCGUAUAGGAGAACUAGGAAACGGAUGAUGGAGCGGGAUGAGGGGUGCUUACGAGAGGAGUGAGGUGGGAUUUCUGUAGAUCCCCAUUUUCGCAAGCGUCGGGGGCGAGGUAGAAGCGGGAGGAGGUCACGAGGGCUGGUGACUCCCUCUCUCACGCCCCCAGUGCUCUUCUACAGCCGAGCCGAGGAUGCUAGGGUUAGGGUAGCCGGUUCUUUGACCUGCGGAGAGCAAGCCCGGCACGGCGCGCGGGAAGGCGAGGCCACAGGCUGCGGUGGGGCGAUUGAGCGGCGGGGACUCCGGUGGUGAGGUGAUGGGGACGUGACGGGGUGGGGUCUGGAUCGACAGGGACGGCGGCGAGAUAUGGUGGUGAAGUGGAUUUGGGUUUUCUGGCCGAGUCGCCGACGAGGAGGGGGGACGGGGAGGGGCGGUGCCUGACGCUGAGCGUGACCACGCCUGCCGCAUGCGCGCGGAUGGGCUGCGGCGCGGAUAGGCCAUCCGGCCAUUCCUUCAUUGGGCUGCCGAGCCGGGGGGUCAGCCCAGUCAACUUUUGAUAUCCGAAUCGCGGCGGAAAAAAAAACCGGAGAACCCAUGUAGCUUCCGGAGCCCAGAAGCUAUACGGCUUUCGUUAUUUCAGAUUCGUGCGGCUUCCUCCUGCUCGCUCUAGCCUGCUCACGUGCCAUCGCCGCUCGCGAGUGCUGCCACAUCCCACUCGCCGAAGGGGUUGGAGGUGGGGGAGCGGCAAGCGGGCGAGAUCGCCGCCGGAGGGGGUGGUAGUGGAGGCGACGGUGGAAAUAGAGUUAGAGUUCGGGGUUACUGGGGUGGGAGCUCCAAUGGCCGGCGGCCGUAAAAUAGGAAGGGUGGUGGGGUGACGCGGAGGCCCAGUGGUGGUGGUGGAUCGGCCAGUGGUCGGUGGUAGGUGGUGGGGGUGAGGAGAUGACCAAGUUAGGAAGGGAUGGGUAGAAGGGUGGUGGCGGUUGGUGAGCGGGCAGCGCGGGGGCGCGGCAACCAGCCGAGGUGGAGGACGAGGGGGCGGGGGUGGCAGCUCAUUAGGGAAGGAGGUGUUAGGAUACGCUUUUCUAGCUUUCGCAAGUUAGAUAGGAGAAAAAACCGUCCCGUGGAUGAUGUAGGUGACGGUGACGAUUGUGAUUCAGGUACUUGGAAGCUGUUCGAUAUAGCUUGUUGUAGCUGUGCUGCAGCUGCUGCAGCCGGCCAGCAACUGCAGCCAGGCAGCAGCGGCCUCCAGCUGUUGUGUGGAAAUUUGUUCUAAAGCUGUUUGGUGUCAUAAGUCCUGCCUAUCUGGCCAGUUAGCAUGGCCUCCAACCAUCUAUGUGGAACUUUGCAUUAUUGUCUUCCUACUUUAGAGGCUAUUAGGUCACUCGCUCGUGCAGUACAAACAACAAGAUGAAGCCAGACACAAUCAUUUGUAUAUAACAAUGUUAAAUAAUGCAAGGAUGCUAGUGCUUGAUGUGGUUGAGCCGUAUUAGGAGUUGUACGCAGGUCGUAGAGACAAGCUUUAGGUGGAGACUAUGAUGAUGUAGAGGAGUGUGCUAGUGCUGCCACCUUUGUUAGGAAUCCAUGUGCCCAAAUAACUCUAGUGUGACACUGACUCAUGGAACAUUAAAAAUAUCAAUAAGCAAGAUGAAGUGUAGAAGUGAACUGAUAUAUUAAGCUUCUCUUGUGUCGCUGAAAAAUGUAUUCAUAUGACAGAGUAAUGUACUUCACUUUGAAUACUAAUAUAUAAUAUAUGUAGUUCUGAUGAGGCUACACGAUGUAUCGACAGUUAUACGAGUGGACAAUGAUAUUAGUAACCAGAAGCACAAAUUUUGGACAUUCGACAGAGCAGUCAUGCCAAUUCUUUAGCCAAUCAAAGGGAUACAAGAUCUUACCCUAGUUUAUGGGUCAGAUGAACGAAAUCUAACAUUGUAAGCAGUGCAAAUCGGGAACGGAGAGGUUUGGAGAUUGGAGAGAUACUUAGGUGGACCGACUUAAUUUGCACAGAAUCAGUAGUGGGUGGAGAUACGGCCGUCCAAAUUCGACGCUGCCUUUGCCAAGAUCCUAUCACCAACAGGGAACGGCUCAAAGAGGCGCCGAGAACUUGAUUUGGAACCUUCCUAGCACUGAUGACCUUCACAGGGGGCGGAGGCGUCGAGCGGCAGCUAGCCUGGAAACCCUACAUUCGACUCCCACCGACGACCUUCAUGGGGGCGAGACUUGUGACACGAAGAAGAUAAGAUGGGAACAGGAUGAUGGAUAACGGGAAGAGAGAAGGCUUAUUAGAACAGCCUAGGUCUGUAGCUGUUCAACAGGCCUGUUGGCUGCUGCCAAGAACUAGCUGAAACGAACAGCCCAGGAUUUAGCCAAAGUCCCGAAAAGACGAACAGUGCCACACGGAGCACAAUAGUUUCACGUGGAACCUCUUGGAGUCUGUGGAAGAAGACAAAUAUGGGAUGACUACUUGUAAAAAAAGCAGGGGAUGACCGGAUGAGGAUGACGCAUGGAAGGGAAGCGUCGCUCCUGUGUGUGUGGCUAAUUAGCACUGUGGGGCCCAUGCCUUUUCUCUCUCUUUUUUUAAACUUUUUUUAUGAAUACGUAGGAGAGCUGCGCAUCUUUAUAUUAAGAAAAAAAUAAUCAUACAACAUGGACCUUUCGGGCGGACACACACGGUUCUAGUUACGGAACUUGCUAAUACAUAAAACCUUUACAAUCAAUGGAUGGAUACCCAGCUAUAGAAUUCUAAGCGUGUGCUGAAAACAAUAGCGCCAGGCCAGUCCAGAGCUGCUAGAUGCUGGGUGAAUUUACUAUCAGCAAAUCAGCAAAUCUGGCUGUGGCGGAAGAAGGUUCCUGAUGCGCACCAGGUGAAUUUACUAUAGGCCCACCCCUUUCGGCCUGCUCACUAGGCAGCCGGUGAGCUUCAACGGUAGCAUGGGCGGCUUUGAUCUGUUGGCCAGUGAGCCAUAUUGCAGCUUCAUUGGAGGCUCCUAUAUAACUUGUUAUAUAACUUGUGGAAGCCAGUUAAGCCCAACAGACCAAUUAGAUGUUUUAAGUCAACAUUUUAACAAAUCAGAUUCAACUUUUUUAAAAAUUAAUGAUAUCAAGCAAUAUAGUACAAAACUUGACACCCAAAAUACACAUUGAGCAACAUAUCGAAGUAGCAAACCAAACUUUCAUGUUUGAUAAAAAAAAAGAAUAGUUUGGCAAUGGUUGCAACCAAAACUUCUGUCUAACGUUACAUGAUACAUCAACAAUUCAGCUUCAAUAGUCUAGCAAGGCACCUCAUAGUCCAUGAUAUAAACUAAUGUACUGGACAUGUAUGGUCUUCUCUUGAAGGCAUGCAUGGUCAGAGUCAGACACUCCAAAUGGCCAGCAAUCUUGAACUCGAGCUCAAUCAGCUUCCAAUGCUCCACUAGACUGGCUUAUUCCACCACAUGCCCAAUAAUCGCUUCCACCCUGAUGCGGCGAUGAUAACCAACGAGGUAGAGUAGCGGAUCCAGGAUUUGAAGUAUGGAUGUGCCAACUUGAGUGACACGAUCCACCGAAAUUCAAGGGACUAACCAUGAAACGGCAUCACAUAUAAAUAUCAUCUAAUAAAAAAACAGAAUUUUACACAGUGUUCCAGUGUCCCUCGAAGGUUCGACGACAUUGUAAUCACACGUCGAGAAAAGCUGCCUCAGCGAAGGCAGCAGAACAAGCAUUUUGGUUGCCCUCAUAGAAAAAAAAGAACAAGCAUUUUGGUAUUAUGUAAUCAACCAUAUAUUAUUUCACAGCUUGGUCUUCAGUUCUUCACAUGGUUCAUUAUUGUAAAAACAAUACAUACUCUCUCAACUUGCGGUCGCCAUGCAGUAGCAACAAGAAGGAUAAAUAGCAGUUGUAGCAACAAACUUAAACCGAUUGUUCUUAUGGGUCCAAUUAGGUUUGAAAGGGAAACAAACUAGUAGUAUUGUCCUUACCAGAAUUCGACCUAAAUUGACUGAAUAUAGUGUUAUUUUUACCGAGCUUCUUGAAUUCCCAUAGCUUGUUGCUGGUCUGCUGAAUUGCCAUGAUGGAGUAUGGAGAGAGAGAGAGGGCUGAGAGAUCGAAGAACCAGAACAUGCAUCGUGCGUGAGCCAUUGGAGAAUUGAAUUAGCAUUAGUUAGCCCUUGCUUGUGUCAAUGUGUGGCUGCGUUUUCUCACUCAAAGCACUCCUAAAUAAGCACCUUACAGAAAUCUGAGGGGGGUUGGUGUUGUCAUCGCAAUGCAAAUCUUUUUUUAAAAAAUGGUUUAUGUGAAACUUCCAGAGACCAAAGUGAUAGUUCACCCUUGUUUCAACUUUCAAUAAGAGCAAGUUUAAUAACGCAGCUAGCAAGCGGGCUGCAAGGUUUCUCUCAGUCUUUUUCUAGCCCACUCAUACAAUGGUUAGCUCUUCACCAUUAAUACAUGGCCCACAAGUCAUUCUCACAAAGUUUUUUGGUUCCUGUGCCCAAAUUGGCUGUAAGCUUGUAGCCCGCUUCUCCUCUCACCUCUUCUCUCUCCUCCACGUCAGCAUUCAGCCAGCUUACAUGUUCUUAUUAUACUUGCUCUAAAAAGAUCACUGCACUUGGUGCUUACUUAGGAGUGCUUUGAUCUCGGGAAGUUGGACACGCGCACUGAAACGUUAGCAAGUAGAAUGUUAGGCAGAAGGUUAGCAAGUGGUCGCCAAUCGCCAUUGAUCAACAGCUUCAAUUCGUCCCUCCUCUCUACGUCUGGAUCUUGCUCAUUUUUUUCUUUUUGAGGUGGCGAGUGGCGACGCGGGGGAACGUGGGAAUUUCUCGCGAAGUCACGGUUUCUAGGCAAUUUAUAUUGAUGAAAUUCAUUGUUCCAAAAGUUUCAUUUCAAAAUGAGUUGCAGUUUUACUAAAAAAUAUAUGGCGAAUGAGUCGUAGUCCACAAGGUGGAAAAUGUUGAGAAUGCGAAGCAUCAUCUGGUACAGGACCUUUCGCCCAUCACUGGACACGGGGGGUUUUGUGUCAAUUCGGACAAGAUGUAACAGAGCAUUUUAUAUAAAGUCUAAAACAGCAAAACCUACUGGAGUUUGCCCGGACAAAAAGGAGAUGGCAAUGGGCCAUACCUGGGAAGCAUGUGCAAAGGUAGGCACCGAAAUGGCCAGACACCAACGUAUGGAACUGGCAUUCGAAACACCAAAAUGAAAGCAAAGGUGCAUACUGGAAGUGCGCAGGUGAAUCGAUUUUGCUUAAAAAGAUCGGAAAAGAAAUAUCGCCAACCAUAUCCCAUGGACGGAAUAAACUGCCCAAAGGAGGGGGGACAGUAGUAGGCACACCGCACACACCACCGCUUCCAUCAACACACUUGCCAGAUAAAGUAACCCGACGGAACCUGUUCUGGUGGCAAGGCAUUGUUCGACGCGCAUAUAUCAAACCACCAAAUGUCACUUUAAAUCUUUAACAGGUUUCGAAAGAUUUAGUUCUGCGGUUACAUUAUUAAGAUUGUUCGCAGUGCGGAACCACGAAGAGCGGCUACUGUUCAAAACGGUGGCAGAAACUCCUAGAAGGUAACGAAUACAACCAGCAACUUUCUAGUCUAUCCAGAUUACAUCCUUUGCACGGGUGUACACCACUGAUACUUACAUGACCAAACAA